UUAGAAUUUCUCAAUGUUAGUGAAUUGAAGUACUGUCACUUGCUUUUGGACAGUCGAACAGAACAGACGUGGUUGCGAGAGCUCUCAUAUCUGUUGUGUUAAACUGUUUUUAUGAUAUGUUAUGUUUGUUUGUUUGUUUGUGAUGUACUAUUUUUCAGAUGCUGAUGGCAGUGAUGGGUUUUCAAGCUGACCUGAACAGAAAAGCACUCAUAUGGUAAGUACAAAAUAGUUGUUAUAUGGGAUGUUUUGUGCAUGCUUUUAUGUUUCAGGUGUACUUGCUGACAGCGACGAAGACGAAUCAAGAAGAGGAACAUUGUUGAGAAAGUGAUUGGGACUUGCAAACAGGGUAAGUGUAACACUUGUGUUUGUUUAAUUUGUAACAUGCGUGCUUUGCUCUGUUUCAGAUUUCACAUGCAGAAAUUAAACAGGAUUUCAACUGCUGAGACACAAUUCAUCAAAAGUAAGGUAAGUUUUAAUUCAUUGAUUUGAGUUGUACAAUGUGUUCUUUACUUUAUUUCAGAUUCGAGUCACUGGUUUACACAUGGAAGAAGAUUUCCACGUCUGUUACUCAACUCUACAGAAGCAAGGGAGCUGUGGUAAGUAUUGUAGUAUUAAUUUGUCUCAAUAAACGAUGAUGAAUGAAAACUGAUGUCGAUUCUUUUUGUACAGUUUUAGGUAUUAGCACUCUAUACAAAACUCUGUCGGUCGGUGUUUGUGAAUGUGAGCUUAAUGUUUGAGUAGAACAAAAAUGUCUUUACUUUUGUGAUCGCCAGUUGUCUGUGAUGUAAAGUGGAAAAAAACACAGCUAUGAAGCAUACAAUUGUUUCAAUAUUUUAUCAAUGAUAGUGUGCUAUGCAUGUUUUGAUUUAGUUCGUUUCAGAUACGACAUGACAUGAAGAGUUGACAGUCGAACAGAGCUGAGCAAAGCAGAAAGGUAAGUGUGUUUCAUUUUAGUAUGAACACUUGUAUUUUGUUUUUAUAUGGUAUGUUUUGUGCAUGCUAUGUUUCAGGUGUACUUGUAGUCAGCGACGAAGACGAUUCAAGAAGAGGAACAUUGCUGAGAAAGUGAAUGGGACUUGCAAACAGGAUUCAAGUUUCUGGUGUAGACAGAAAAAUGUGUUUGAAGAAGGAAUUCUACUACUGUGAUUCAACUCUACAGAAGCAAGGUAAGUAGAAACAAAAUUUUGGUUUAAUUUAACUCAUGUGUUUUGCACUGCAUGCUAUUUUUCAGGUCUCUCAUGCAGUGAGGGAAAAGAAGAAGAUUUAAAAAAAAAAAUCACUGCUGCAACUCAGGCCUAUAACAUGGUAAGCGUUUACUAUAUUGUAUACAAAAUAUUUUUCUGUUUUACUCUGUUUCAGGUUUCAAUUGUAGAGAUGUUGCAGAGAUGUUUUGACAGCUUGUGACAGAAAAGAAAUUCAGCAGCUGUGUAUCGACUGUAGCCACGAGGUAAGUCGAAACAAAUAUACUGGUUUGUAUGUUAUGUUGUUAUGCCCUUCUAUGUUUCAGACUUACAUUGCUGUGACUGUUCCACAGUGGGUCAAAAAAGAGACGAAUACAGGUUUCAAGAAGAAAAUUGGCUGUUGAAAACCUGCACAAAAUAUGAGGUAAGUAAACUAUUCUUUUGGUUUGUUUUGUGCUUUGUUAUGCUUAACUAUUUUUCAGAUUGGAAUGGUGGGUCGUUACAGAGCAGACUUUUGGACAACUGAGAAGUUGAGAAACAGAAAAUGAUUCAAGA